UAAGCAUAUCAAUAAGCGGAGGAAAAGAAACCAACAGGGAUUGCCCCAGUAACGGCGAGUGAAGCGGCAACAGCUCAAAUUUGAAAUCUGGCUUCGGCCCGAGUUGUAAUUUGCAGAGGAAGCUUUAGGCGCGGCACCAUCUGAGUCCCCUGGAACGGGGCGCCAUAGAGGGUGAGAGCCCCGUAGAGAUGGACGCCUAGCCUGUGUAAAGCUCCUUCGACGAGUCGAGUAGUUUGGGAAUGCUGCUCAAAAUGGGAGGUAAAUUUCUUCUAAAGCUAAAUACCGGCCAGAGACCGAUAGCGCACAAGUAGAGUGAUCGAAAGAUGAAAAGCACUUUGAAAAGAGGGUUAAAUAGCACGUGAAAUUGUUGAAAGGGAAGCGCUUGUGACCAGACUUGCGCCGGGCGGAUCAUCCGGUGUUCUCACCGGUGCACUCCGCCCGGCUCAGGCCAGCAUCGGUUCUCGUGGGGGGAUAAAGGCACCGGGAACGUAGCUCCUCCGGGAGUGUUAUAGCCCGGGGCGUAAUGCCCUCGCGGGGACCGAGGACCGCGCAUCUGCAAGGAUGCUGGCGUAAUGGUCACCAGCGACCCGUCUUGAAACACGGACCAAGGAGUCAAGGUUUUGCGCGAGUGUUUGGGUGUAAAACCCGCACGCGUAAUGAAAGUGAACGUAGGUGAGAGCUUCGGCGCAUCAUCGACCGAUCCUGAUGUUUUCGGAUGGAUUUGAGUAGGAGCGUUAAGCCUUGGACCCGAAAGAUGGUGAACUAUGCUUGGAUAGGGUGAAGCCAGAGGAAACUCUGGUGGAGGCUCGCAGCGGUUCUGACGUGCAAAUCGAUCGUCAAAUCUGAGCAUGGGGGCGAAAGACUAAUCGAACCAUCUAGUAGCUGGUUACCGCCGAAGUUUCCCUCAGGAUAGCAGUGUUGUUCUUCAGUUUUAUGAGGUAAAGCGAAUGAUUAGGGACUCGGGGGCGCUUUUUUGCCUUCAUCCAUUCUCAAACUUUAAAUAUGUAAGAAGCCCUUGUUACUUAAUUGAACGUGGGCAUCGAA
rnacentral:rRNA from 1 species